GGUGUCGUGGUGUAGUUGAUUAUCACGUCAAUCAACACCGGAGGUCUCCGGUUCGAACUCGGGCGACGCUA